rnacentral:rRNA from 1 species
AACGAACGCUGGCGGCACGCCUAACACAUGCAAGUCGAACGUUCCCUUCGGGGAAAGUGGCGCACGGGUGGGUAACACGUGGGAACCUACCUUUUAGUACGGAAUAAUCAUUAGAAAUGAUGACUAAUACCGUAUAGUCCCUCCGGGGUAAAGAUUUAUCGCUAAAAGAUGGGCCCGCGCUAGAUUAGUUAGUUGGUGAGGUAAUGGCUCACCAAGACUACGAUCUAUAGCUGUUCUGAGAGGAAGAUCAGCCACACUGGUACUGAGACACGGACCAG